UACGGAGGGUGCAAGCGUUGUCCGGAUUUAUUGGGUUUAAAGGGUGCGUAGGCGGCCCUGUAAGUCAGCGGUGAAAUCCCAGGGCUCAACCCUGGAACUGCCGUUGAUACUGCAGGGCUUGAGUUCGGUUAAGGCGGGCGGAACUGGUGGUGUAGCGGUGAAAUGCAUAGAUACCACCAAGAACCCCGAUUGCGUAGGCAGCUCGCUGAGCCGAAACUGACGCUGAGGCACGAAAGCGUGGGGAGCGAACAGG
rnacentral:ncRNA from 4 species